rnacentral:rRNA from 1 species
AGCUCCAUUAGCGUAUAUUAAUGUUGUUGCAGUUAAAAAGCUCGUAGUUGGAUUUCUGUUUGUUGUUUGUGUAGUUAAUUUAAUUAAGUACAAAAACAACAUUCAUCCUUUGGGGAAAUUGUUAUGCUAUUCAUUUAGUACAACACCAACCCCAAUCUUUUACUGUGAAAAAAUUAGAGUGUUUAAAACAGGCUAUUACGUCUUGAAUACUAGAGCAUGGAAUAAUAAAAUACGACUUUUUUGUAUUUUGUUGGUUUGCGAAAAAAGUAAUGAUUAAGAGGAAUAGAUGGGGAUAUUUGUAUUUUAUUGUCAGAGGUGAAAUUCUUGGAUUUAUAAAAGACAAACUACUGCGAAAGCAUUUAUCAAGCAUGUUUUCAUUA